GCCAAAGAUAUUUCAUGGGAGACUUGAAAUAUUUCUGUUUGGCAAUAAAAAUCUUACCUAGUCUUCUCAACUCAGAUUAAUCUGAUCCUGUUCUUUGUAACUUGUGUUUAUCUUUGCAGCCACCGAGUCUACCGGACCUAUCACUACCUACAUCUUUUUUCUGCCUUUGAACAAUGUACCCACAAUGACAGUGAAAAAUUGAGCAAUCCUGAACCCAGGGUUGGGAGGGUUGUUUCUCAAGCUGUGAAAUAUGCAAAGCCUUAUGGCCAUUUCUGACAUAUGGUUAAAAAAUCUGCAGACAACACAUGAUCCUUGGUUGGCGUCAAGAGAACCACCUUCACCAAUUAGUCCAAUGAAGACAAACUCCUAGAACAAACAUCCUCUGCCACAAGAGCUGCCUGGAUGGGUAAAACUAGAUAA
rnacentral:lncRNA from 1 species